AUUGAACGCUGGCGGCAUGCUUUACACAUGCAAGUCGAACGGUAACAGGGUGCUUGCACCGCUGACGAGUGGCGAACGGGUGAGUAAUGCGUCGGAACGUGCCGAGUAGUGGGGGAUAACGCAGCGAAAGUUGUGCUAAUACCGCAUACGUACUGAGGUAGAAAGUGGGGGACCUUCGGGCCUCACGCUAUUCGAGCGGCCGACGUCUGAUUAGCUAGUAGGUGAGGUAAAGGCUCACCUAGGCGACGAUCAGUAGCGGGUCUGAGAGGAUGAUCCGCCACACUGGGACUGAGACACGGCCCAGACUCCUACGGGAGUCAGCAGUGGGGAAUUUUGGACAAUGGGCGAAAGCCUGAUCCAGCCAUGCCGCGUGUCUGAAGAAGGCCUUCGGGUUGUAAAGGGCUUUUGUCAGGGAGGAAAUCCCUAGUGCUAAUAACACUGGGGGAUGACAGUACCUGAAGAAUAAGCACCGGCUAACUACGUGCCAGCCGCCGCCGUAACAC
rnacentral:rRNA from 1 species